rnacentral:rRNA from 1 species
GACGAACGCUGGCGGCGUGCUUAACACAUGCAAGUCGAACGAUGAUGCCAGCUUGCUGGUGGAUUAGUGGCGAACGGGUGAGUAACACGUGAGCAACCUGCCCCUGACUUCGGGAUAACCGCGGGAAACCGUGGCUAAUACCGGAUAUGACGCGCUAUCGCAUGGUGGUGUGUGGUAAGAUUUAUCGGUUGGGGAUGGGCUCGCGGCCUAUCAGCUUGUUGGUGGGGUGAUGGCCUACCAAGGCGACGACGGGUAGCCGGCCUGAGAGGGUGACCGGCCACACUGAGACUGAGACACGGCCCAGACUCCUACGGGAGGCAGCAGUGGGGAAUAUUGCACAAUGGGCGCAAGCCUGAUGCAGCGACGCCGCGUGAGGGAUGACGGCCUUCGGGUUGUAAACCUCUUUCAGUAGGGAAGAAGGCCUUCGGGUUGACGGUACCUGCAGAAGAAGCGCCGGCUAACUACGUG